AUACGGAGGGUGCGAGCGUUAAUCGGAAUUACUGGGCGUAAAGCGUACGUAGGCGGCUAUUUAAGUCAGAUGUGAAAGCCCCGGGCUUAACUUGGGAACUGCAUUUGAAACUGGGUAACUAGAGUUUAGUAGAGGGGAGUGGAAUUUCAGGUGUAGCGGUGAAAUGCGUAGAGAUCUGAAGGAACACCAGUGGCGAAGGCGACUCCCUGGACUAAAACUGACGCUGAGGUACGAAAGCGUGGGUAGCAAACAGGAUUAGAAACCCUAGUAGUCC
rnacentral:rRNA from 1 species